rnacentral:rRNA from 1 species
GGCCAGACUCCUACGGGAGGCAGCAGUGGGGAAUAUUGGACAAUGGGGGAAACCCUGAUCCAGCGACGCCGCGUGAGUGAAGAAGUAUUUCGGUACGUAAAGCUCUAUCAGCAGGAAAGAAAAUGACGGUACCUGACUAAGAAGCCCCGGCUAACUACGUGCCAGCAGCCGCGGUAAUACGUAGGGGGCAAGCGUUAUCCGGAUUUACUGGGUGUAAAGGGAGCGUAGACGGUAUGGCAAGUCUGAAGUGAAAGCCCCGGGCUCAACCUGGGAAUUGCUUUGGAAACUGUUAAACUAGAGUGCUGGAGAGGCAGGCGGAAUUCCUAGUGUAGCGGUGAAAUGCGUAGAUAUUAGGAGGAACACCAGUGGCGAAGGCGGCCUGCUGGACAGUAACUGACGUUGAGGCUCGAAAGCGUGGGGAGCAAACAGGAUUAGAUACCCCCGUAA